rnacentral:lncRNA from 1 species
CAUUUCAUUAUUGAUGGCAGUUUGGGUUGUUUCCAGUUUUUGGCUCCUAUGAAUAAUGUUACAAGUCCUUCUACAUGAAUCUUGAGAUAGAUAUGCAAGCAUUUCUUUUGGGAACAUCCUGGUAAUGGAAUUGCUCUCUUAUCAGGUAUGUAUAUGUUCAGUUUUAGAGGAUACUGCUUAAUAGAUUUUCAAAUUCUUGUGUUAAUUUAUUAACCAACAGAAUAUGAGAAUUCCAGUUGUUUUUUGUGUUCUUGCCAUCUCUUGUUACAGAAAGUCCUUUUGAUUUUAGCUGUUCUGGUGAAUAUGAAGUAGUAUUUCAUUGUGCUUUUAUUUUCUUGAUGACUAGUACUGUUCCGCAUUUUUUUUCAUAGAUUUGGGUAUAAGUCUCUUGCCCAUUUUUCUUUUAGGUUUUGUGUUUUUUUCUUAUUGAUUUUUGUAUGUAAGUUUUAUCUUGCAUAUAAGCCUUUUCUCAGUUGUAUGUGUAGCAAUAUAUUACUCAGUUUUGACUUGUUUUUUAACUUUUUAAUGCUGUUUUUUUGAUGGAAACAGUUUCCCUAUAUUAAAGUGAUUUAAUUAUCAUCCCUCCCCCUUAUUGUUAGAAUUUUUUAUUUCUGUGUAAGAAAUCUCUACAUAACUCAAGGUUGUGAAUAUAUGAUUUGGUAUUAUCUUAUCAAACUGUAUUGCUGUCUUUUUCGUAUUUAGAUCUACUCCCUAGCUGGAAUUGUUUUUUAGUUUGUGGUGUGAGGUAUGGGUAGGAUUCAGUUUUUUUUCCAUGUGGGUAACCGAUUAAACCAGCACUAUUUAUGGAAAAGCCCAUCCUUUCUCUACUAUGUUUUAGGACUACUCUGGCAUAAAUCAAGUGUGUAUAUUUAUGGUAUCUCUGUUCUGUUACAUUUAUCUAUUUUUCCGUUGUGCCAGCAAAACACUGCCUUGAUUAUUGCAGCUUUAUAAUGUCUUGAUUUCAGUAAAACAAAUCCCACUUUAUAUUCCUUUAAGAGUGUUUUGGCUAUUCUUUUUUAAAAAGACUAUUUUUUUAAAAUGCAGUUUUAAGUUUACAACAAAAUUGAGAGGAAAACACUGAGAUUUUUCAUAUGUUCCCUGUGUCCACACAUGUACAGCUUCUCCCAUUAUCCACAUCAUUCACCAGGAAGGUAAAUUUUUUUACUAAGCAUGAACUUAACAGUGACUCAUCAUAAUCACCCCCAAGUCGCUAGUUUACCAUAGGGUUCACUUUUGGUGUUGUAUGUUCCAUGGGAUUGGGCAAGUUUAUAAUGAUAUAUGUUCAUCAUUAUAGUAUCAUACAAAAUAUUCACAUUGCCUUAAAAAUCUCUCUGUGUUCUGUCUAUUUAUCUCUUCCUUCUCCUUUCCACUCCUGGCAACAACUAGUCUUUCUAUUGUCUCCGUAGUUUUGCUUUUCAAGAAUGUGAUACAGUUGAAAUCAUACCUUAUGUAGCCUUCUCAGAUUGGUUUCUUUCAUUCAGAAAUAUGCAUUUAACAUUCUUCCAUGUCUUUUCAUAGCUUGACAGCUUAUUUCUUUUUAACACUGAAAAGUAUUCUGUUGUCUGGAUAUACCACAGUUUGUUUAUUCACUCAUCAACUGAGGGACAAUCUUGGUCUCUUUCAAGUUUUGGCAAUUAUGAAUAACGCUGCUGUAAACCUCCAUGUGCAGGUUUUUGUGUGGACAUAAAGUUUUUCACUUCUUUCAGUAAAUAUCAAGCAGAAUAAUCACUGGAUUGUGUGGUAAGAGUAUGUUUAGUUUUGUAAGAAACUAUCAUACCCUCUUCUAAAGUGGCUAUACCAUUUUGCAACCCCACUGGCAAUUCAUGGAAAGAGUUUCUGUUGCUCCUGUUGUACCAGCAUUUGGUGUAUUUAGAAUUUAGGCCAUUCUAAUUAAUGUGUAGUGGUAUAAUUGUUUUAAUUUGCAUUUCUCUAGCAACUUUUAAUAUAGAGCAUUUUUUCAUAUAUUUAUUUGCCAUCUGUAUAUCUUCUUUGGUGAGAUAUUUGUUAAGGGUUUUUGCCCAUUUUUUAAUCAGGUUUUCUGAGCUUUCGGUUUUUGACACUCUGUGUUUUCAUAUAAAUUUUAGAAUCAGUUUGUUUAGCUCCACAAAAAACAAAAACAAAGAACCUGUUGAGAUUCUUAUUGAGAUUGCAUUGACUUUAUAAAUAAAUUUGGGGAAAAUUAACUUUUUAUAAUAUUGACUCUCAUGUAUGAUCAUAAAAUUUUUUUCACUUUUGUAGAUCUUUUAAAAUUUAUGUAUAAGAUUUAUGAUUUUCUGUGUGGAGAUGUUGCACAUAUUUUACACAUUUAGUUUGAGUAUUGAUUUUUUUGGUAUUUAUACAUGAUAUCUUUACAUAUAAUUAUUAAAUUGUGUGGUUGCUCCUGUUUAAAAGUAGAGGUUCUCGUCAUGGCUCAGUGGUUAGCGAAUCCUCUAGGAACCAUGAGUAGCAACUUCACAAUGUUGUGUAACCACCAUCUCAAUCUAGCUCCAAAAUAUUUUCAUCACUUCAGAAGAAAGUCUCAUACACAGCAAUAGGUCUCCUUAGACCAUCAAUUUGCUUUCUGCCUCUGUGGGUUUACCUAUUCUAAAUAUUUCAUAUACCUGGAAUCAUAUAAUAUGUGACUUAUUGUAUCUGGCUUCUUUCAUUUACCAUAGUGUUUUCAAGGUUCACCCAUCUUAUAGCAUGUGUCAAUACUUCAUUCCGUUUUAUGACUGAAAAAUAUUUCCCUGUAUGGCUGUAUACAUUUGUUUAUCUAUUCAUCAGUUAAUGAACACUUGAUUGUUUCCACCACUUGGCUACUAUGAAGUUCUGCUAUGAACAGAAUGUUCUUUAAGGUUACUUAUUUUUUAAUCUCCCACCCACUGCACCACACUGGUUGAAUAUACCCAGUAUGAGUAUUAUAAGGGUACCUCAUAAAAGAAGCUAUUCCAGUAGUAGUCAGCAGCAGUAAUUGUUGGAUAAUUCUCUACAUGCAGCCAAAAAUUUGUGUUUUCUAAUUCUAUUAAAAUUACUUUAUAUAUGAUAUAAAUCACUCAAAGGAGAAACUGAACAAACAUGCUUAGCUGUAUAUGAUCAUACUUUUAAAAACACAAUUUAUCUAAUAUUUUUAAAUUAAUUAAAAAUAAUUUAACUCCUUUUUACUCUAAUGAGAAAUUCUUCAUUUAUGUGGUUCUAUGAACCUUGAUUUCAUUAUCACUUGGUAAUUUCUAGAAAUUUCUCCUCCUAAAACCAUUCCCUGCAUUCAUGGGGAUUUUUUUAUUUUGGAUUUUUUGCAAGAAUUUUGAAAGCUAUUUAAAAAAAAUUAUAUCUAAGAAUUCUGAAGUAUUCCCUUGACGAUUCAAAUUGUAUUUGGGUGGAAAAAGAAGGGACCAGGAGGAAAGAAUCAAUUCUAAUAGAAUUACAGAAAGUCUAUGUUUAAUUCUCCUCUCCUCUAAAAUAAAUUUAAACCCCAAAACUAUCCAUUAUUUUUCCACUUUAGCCUUGAAUGCAUCACAUCCUAUCAGUCACCCAUUAACAUUAUUUGUCAUCCUAGAACAUUUCAUAAUAACACUUAUAUCUGAGCUACUUCCCCUAAUAAGACUUUUAAAUAGACACAGACAAGUAAUAAAUCUAAGUUUUAUUCUCAGGUAAAUUUACAUUUUUUCAGCUUAGAAAAUCAGUAAUUAAAGUGAAAAACUGUCUCUUCUUUCCCCUUUGGAUCUAAUACCCGUGCAAGUGUCUCUUUGCCACUUCUGUGCUAUUGAUGAUGUCAUUAGCUCAGUCUCAAUAGGGGCAAAACAUUUUAUACAUGGAACAGAGAUGCUUUUAUACUGCUAGAUGAGUUUUCUGGGAUUUCAAACACUGUCCGUUUUCUUAAAGUUAGUUGACUGCAUUACUUUCCUAGGCUUGUCUAUAUUUGCAUUCUGGCCAAAGCAAAAGAUGAGUUCCAAGUUGUAUGCAGAUGUUUAAUAGGCAGUACUAAAAUUUUGUACGAAAUAGCCUCUAUCUGCUCACUUCCAUGUGAGGCUACAAGGAGAAAUUAGAUGUCUACAGCUCAGAGAAGGGGUCUCACCAGAGCUUGACCAUGCUGAUCUCAGACUUUAAGCUUCCAGACCUGUGAGAAAUAAACGUCAGUUGUUUAUUAGCCCCUCAGUGUGUAGUAUAUUCAUCAUAACAGCCUGAAAGAAUUAGGACUUUGCUUUCCACUUAGAGUUUCUUAUUUCAUGACUGUUGUUGGUAAAACAAAAAGAAUAUUUUUAAUAAAUCAUUCAGUACAAUUAAAGGACAGUGUUAUUUAUUUCUUCUCAUGUUUGAAAUGUCUUAUGUCUUCUUUGGUCAAUAUAAAUCAAAUAAAUAACUAAAUAUAAAUCAAAUCAGCAUUCUGUGGCCUGGGUAUAGGCAUGGUACACACAGGAUAAGGGUCUGUACAUGAUGUAGGGUUCUAGAAAGGGAAGAGUCAUUAUGAAUGAGUUCCUUCCAUCCUUAUGCUACAGAUGUAAAAGGAGAUGAAGUGGCUUGCCUGAGGUCAUGAGUAUAACUAAUAAUGAUAUGGACAGAAGCAUAAUAGCUACAGAGCUCAAAGUAGUGUUUAUUCACACAGUAUUUUUCAUGUUAAGUUGUAAAGAAUUGCACAGGGGAUGUCGGGGCCGAUGACAUCAAUCUUGAUAUGAUUCUCCACUUAGAUGAUAGUUGACUCCAAGAAAUAAAGGAAAUAUAGUACUUGUUUUACUGUUAGGAAUUGUGUAAACUGCGACUUUCUAAAUGGUCUAGAUUUUUCUCAUAAUCAAUUCCCUCCAUCUAAGAAUUGUAGAAAAGAAAGGGGAAAAUAUACAGUAACUUUUAUAAAAUAAGUGGUGAUAACAAUUUGAUGAAAAAUGGAUUUUGUACUUAAUUUAAGCAUUAUCCUGUUAGAUAACAUAUAACAGCAAGAAGAAUGGAAUAAACCACCUGGGUUGAAAAAUAUAGGAGAAGAAACUUAGUUGGAAGCUUGUACAUUAAAUGAAAAUAUUUGUACUAGAAGAGUUUGACUUUUACAUGCAUGAUGGCAGUCAGUUAAUUUCUUGGCUGUGCUAACUCGUGUUUUUAAAUUCAAAGCUAAACAUCUGGCAUUCGAAAGAAUUUUUUAAAAUGCAACUCAUAGAUAAGCCUACUUAGGAUACAAUAAACUGCAGGUAUUGAGUAAGUAGAAUUAUGAAAAAUCUGUGCAUGUAAACUCCAUGACUUCUUUUCCUGCCCUCUUUUCCCACCCUUAAUGCAUCUCUUUAAGGGACUUCUUUUUAAGCAAUCACUUAAUGAGGGGUUUCUGUGUGCCAGAUAUUGUACUAGGUGAUUUACAUACAGUAUUACAUUUAAUUCUCAGAACAACCCUGGGAGGGAGGGUUAACUGGAGCUGCUAUGAAGUCUUUUUUGAUGUGGAACCUACUCUGAAUUGCCAAUUCAAACCAGGGACAUUUUGUUCCAAAAUCCAAGAAUACCCACCUAGCAUUGUGCCUCUUUUGUUGGGGGAGGUGAUAGAAGGCAGAGCAAGUUUUUCUAACUUUCCAAGCAAUAUCCUGAUUAUUUCGUAGACAUGAAUCUGUGAAACUUCUCCAGUUUAUCUUCCACACUCUGAUGUGCAUUAGUCUUAUUAAGGCAUCCAGGAUUCUUCAUUCCUGAUCAUCAGAUACAUGUAAAUAUAACAUUGUCAAUAAUAAACAAUCCAGCAUAACCUUAUAUGGCAUAUAAAGAUUAUAGGGGACUAUAUGACAACAGAGGGCCUGAGGGAAAAUGGUAAAGAGACACUUUGUCUCUGUGAAGCUAACUGAUGCUGAUUUUCCUUGUUAGAUUUUUUUAAAAAUGGGUUAAGUCAAUAGCUGUAUACUAGCUACUGGGGUUUGUAGUGAUUUUUCCUUAUCUGGAACUGCAGAUUAACUUUAUGGUAAGGCUCAGUCAUUUUCCAAGAAUUAUUAAGCUUUGCACCAGGCAAACAGGCAGUUGAAGUUAGACAUACAGUGUGAAUCAACCUCCUUGUAUUUAAAACGUCUUUUGUUGGGAGUUGUCGUCCUGGCGCAGUGGUUAACGGAUCCAACUAGGAACCAUGAAGUUGCGGGUUCGAUCCCUGGCCUUGCUCCAUGGGUUAAGGAUCCGGCAUUGCCAUGUGCUCUCGUGUAGGUCGAAGACUCAGCUUGGAUCUGGUGUGGCUGUGGCUGUGGCUGUGGCUGUGGCUGUGGCUGGUGCUAUGGCUGUGGCUGUGGCAUAGGCCGGUGCUACAGCUCUGAUUAGACCCCUAGCCUGGGAACCUCCAUAUG